GUGGGGAAUUUUGGACAAUGGGCGAAAGCCUGAUCCAGCCAUGCCGCGUGCAGGAUGAAGGCCUUCGGGUUGUAAACUUCUUUUGUACGGAACGAAAAGACUCCUUCUAAUAAAGGGGGUCCAUGACGGUACCGUAAGAAUAAGCACCGGCUAACUACGUGCCAGCAGCCGCGGUAAUACGUAGGGUGCAAGCGUUAAUCGGAAUUACUGGGCGUAAAGCGUGCGCAGGCGGUUAUAUAAGACAGAUGUGAAAUACCCGGGCUCAACCUGGGAACUGCAUUUGUGACUGUAUAGCUAGAGUACGGUAGAGGGGGAUGGAAUUCCGCGUGUAGCAGUGAAAUGCGUAGAUAUGCGGAGGAACACCGAUGGCGAAGGCAAUCCCCUGGACCUGUACUGACGCUCAUGCACGAAAGCGUGGGGAGCAAACAGGAUUAGAAACCCUUGUAGUCC
rnacentral:rRNA from 1 species